rnacentral:lncRNA from 1 species
CACCACGUUGGAGGGCAGCUUCUGCCAGUUCAGCUUCUUCAUUCUCAUUGUUGGUGUCUUCACUGCCUUGCGUGGAGGACUGAUGAAGCCAAGAGGGCAGCUGAAUUGGGGAGCCACAACAGCUUCUAUGUUAUCUCCUGCCAUACCAGGCAAUGGUGGUGGAGGGGGGAUGACUGCCAUACCAGGCAAUGGAGGUGGAGGAGGGAUGACUGCCAUACCAGGCAAUGGAGGUGGAGGAGGAGGGAUGCCAGGGAGUGGUGGGGCUGGUGGCAAAUUCACGGAGGCUGUGGGGGGCAUGGCUGCUGGUCCAGAGGGCAGGGGUGGAGGUGGUGGGGGUGGGGGUGGAGGAGGUGGGGGUGGAAGGGCAGGAGCAGCGUUGGGUGGAGGGUUAGAGGUCUGUGGUGAGGUGAAGCAGGCUGAGAGCUGUGAGGACGAGGUCUUCUCUUCACAGGCUUGUGGCCCUGAGGGAGCUUCUGGUGUCUUGCAGGGGUUUGGUGAUCCCAUCAGACUCUGAACUGCACUUGUGCAUGGUUCUCGUUCAGUCUGGAUGCCUCCAUUUGCAUUACCAGAAAGACGUUUUUCAGCUCUUUUUUGCUUGUUUGGAUGCUUCUUGAUAGACAAUAGCCUCUCAAUUACUUCUUCAACC